rnacentral:rRNA from 1 species
GAUGAACGCUGGCUACAGGCUUAACACAUGCAAGUCGAGGAGAAACGCCGGGGAAGCUUGCUUCCCCGGGCGUCGACCGGCGCACGGGUGAGUAACGCGUAUCCAACCUGCCUCUGACUGAGGGAUAACCCGUCGAAAGUCGGCCUAAUACCUCAUGGCAUCGUCUGCGGGCAUCCAACGACGAUUAAAGAUUUCAUCGGUCAGGGAUGGGGAUGCGUCUGAUUAGCUAGUUGGCGGGGUAACGGCCCACCAAGGCGACGAUCAGUAGGGGUUCUGAGAGGAAGGUCCCCCACAUUGGAACUGAGACACGGUCCAAACUCCUACGGGAGGCAGCAGUGAGGAAUAUUGGUCAAUGGGCGAGAGCCUGAACCAGCCAAGUAGCGUGCAGGAUGACGGCCCUAUGGGUUGUAAACUGCUUUUAGGCGGGGAUAAAGUGAGGGACGUGUCCUUCAUUGCAGGUACCGCAUGAAUAAGGACCGGCUAAUUCCGUG